ACUUGGAUAUGGAUUCUUCACGGUAACGUAACUGAAUGUGGAGACGUCGGCAUGAGCCCUGGGAGGAGUUAUCUNUUCUUCUUAACAGCUUAUCACCCUGGAAUUGGUUUAUCCGGAGNUAGGGUNUUAUGGCUGGAAGAGCGCAAUAUCUUUGUUGCGUCCGGUGCGCUUAUGACGAUCCUUGAAAAUCCACAGGAAGGAAUAGUUUUCAUGCCAAGUNGUACU
rnacentral:rRNA from 1 species